GUUUACUGUGUGUGCUGGUGUCACUUGUUCCUCUCCACAUUACCCCAGGGGCAUCAGGACUUGAAGAACUGGCCCAAAAAUGCUGCUACUCUGGCUACUACCAUUGCUUGCUCGUUUAUGACCUUGCCCACUGAAUGCCUUAGAAAAGGCUCUUCUACACGCCCAGGGAAUCUGGAGGCACACUUGGCUUGAGGACUCUGUUCAGCUCAUCUUUUCCCGGAAGUCUUCAUGUAAUAGAGCCAUCCCAGGAGCUGAAAUACCAUCAUUUCUUGGUAUUCUUCCUAGACCAGUCACCCUUUUAUUUGGACUAAUUUGACGUCAAAUGUUUCACAAUUGAUGAGGAUUUUUAAAAAAUGUUUUGAGUAGGUAGAAAACAAACUACUUGGUAUAUUAUAACAAAGAAGGGUUGAGCAUGAAAAAUCUAUGCUCAAUCAUGAA